GAUGAACGCUGGCGGCGUGCCUAAUACAUGCGAGUAGAACGCUGACGGAGGAGCUUGCUCUUCUGGAUGAGUUGCGAACGGGUGAGUAACGCGUAGGUAACCUGCCUGGUAGCUGGGGAUAACUAUUGGAAACGAUAGCUAAUACCGCAUGACAACAGUUAUUGCAUGAUAACUGUUUAAAAGAGGCAACUGCUCCACUACCAGAUGGACCUGCGUUGUAUUAGCUAGUUGGUGAGGUAACGGCUCACCAAGGCGACGAUACAUAGCCGACCUGAGAGGGUGAUCGGCCACACUGGGACUGAGACACGGCCCAGACUCCUACGGGAGGCAGCAGUAGGGAAUCUUCGGCAAUGGACGGAAGUCUGACCGAGCAACGCCGCGUGAGUGAAGACGGGUUUCGGGUCGUAAAGCUCUGUUGUACGGGAAGAACGAGUGUGAGGGUAGAAAGUUCACACUGUGACGGUAUCUUAAGAGAAAGGGACGGCUAACUACGUG
rnacentral:rRNA from 1 species